rnacentral:rRNA from 1 species
AUCUGGUUGAUCCUGCCAGUAAUCAUAUGCUUGUCUCAAAGAUUAAGCCAUGCAUGUCUAAGUACAAGCCGCGUACGCGGCGAGACUGCGGACGGCUCAUUAAAUCGGUUAUGACUCCACUGGGGCCAGACACUCCGUGGAUAACUGCGGUAACUCCGGUGCUAAUACAUGCAACAAGGCUCCGACCCCGUCUUCGGGCGGGGGAAGGGCGCACUUAUUAGGCGAAAACCAAUCGCUCGCUCUCGGGCGGGCGUAGGUGGACGACACCCGAGUAAUUGCCGCCGAUCGCACGGCCUUCGAGCCGGCGACGCCUACAUUGAGUUUCUGAUCUAUCAUGCUGACGACGGUUGGUGCUAUGCCAACCGUGGCGUUAACGGAUAACAGAGAAUCUGGGUUCGAUUCUGGAGAGGCCGCAUGAGAAACGGCGACCACUUCCAAGGAAGGCAGCAGGCACGCAAAUUACCCACUUCGGACACCGAGAGGUAGUGACGAACAAUACCGAUGCGGCGCACUUACGUGUCGCCGUAAUCGGAAUGAGUACACUUCAAAUCCUUUAACGAGGAUCCACUGGAGGGCAAGCCUGGUGCCAGCAGCCGCGGUAAUUCCAGCUCCAGUAGCGUAUAUUUAUAUUGCUGCGUUUAAAAAGCUCGUAGUUGAAGCGUCAGACGCGGGAGGGCGGACGGCCGCACUGGUCGCUCCUGCCCGACCGAGCCAGGCGCAGAGGGCGCGCGUCGCUUGCACUUCACCGUGUGAGCGCGCCGCCGCUGCACGUUCACCUUGAAGAAAUUGAACCGCUCAGAGGGGGCGCGCAGCUUGUACAGCUCAGCAUGGUAUGAUGGAACAUGGGCUCGUACUCAUUUUGUUGGUUAGAGAGUCGGCGAGCCAAUGAUUAACAGGGACUGCCGGGGGCAUUCGUACUCGGACGGGAGAGGUGAAAUUCAAGGAUCGUCCGAAGACGCCCUACUGCGAAAGCAUUUGCCAAGAAUGUUUUCAUUAAUCAAGA